CGUGAGUGAUGAAGGCUUUCGGGUCGUAAAGCUCUGUCAAGUGGGAAGAACCUGCAGUAUGCUAAUAUCAUAUUGCACUGACGGUACCACUGAAGGAAGCACCGGCUAACUCCGUGCCAGCAGCCGCGGUAAUACGGGGGGUGCAAGCGUUAUUCGGAAUCAUUGGGCGUAAAGGGCACGUAGGCGGCCUGGUAAGUCAGAUGUGAAAGCCCGGGGCUUAACCCCGGAAGUGCAUUUGAUACUGUCAGGCUUGAGUAUGGGAGAGGGAAGUGGAAUUCCUGGUGUAGAGGUGAAAUUCGUAGAUAUCAGGAGGAACACCGGUGGCGAAGGCGACUUCCUGGACCAAUACUGACGCUGAGGUGCGAAGGCGUGGGUAGCAAACAGGAUUAGAUACCCUGGUAGUCCACGCAGUAAACGUUGUUCACUAGGUGUAGCGGGUAUUGACCCCUGCUGUGCCGCAGUUAACGCAUUAA
rnacentral:rRNA from 1 species